rnacentral:snoRNA from 1 species
GUGGAGGUUAAGAAGGCGAGGCCAGUUAAGACCAUGUGGCUCUCACCGAUACCCACCUCCUACAGCAAAGCAGCUGAGAGAACAACUUGUGCCACCAGACGGGCCCCGGUUACAUCUCAGCCAACACGU